CACAGCUUCGCCAUUCCGGCCGGCGAAGAGGGGAAGGCAUCCGGAGGCGGGGCUGCUGGGAGACGCGGCCUCGGGGGCAGCUCCAGUCCAGUCAGAACAAUGGUCCAAGAUAAAAAGGACGGGACAUACUACAUUUCCUACAUCCCCAAGGAGGCCGGCUUAUAUACUGUGCUGGUCCGGGUCAAAGACCAGCACGUGCAGGAAAGUGCCAGUUUUUCUCCAACCCCACUGCCAACACAGACCACCUAGAAUUGGAGGAGGCUACUUGACUGUUAUCGCCUUCAGCUGCAAGUAUUUGCAUUUGUCUCUGUCUCCAUUUU